rnacentral:rRNA from 1 species
UGGGGAAUUUUGGACAAUGGGCGCAAGCCUGAUCCAGCCAUGCCGCGUGCGGGAAGAAGGCCUUCGGGUUGUAAACCGCUUUUGUCAGGGAAGAAAUCCUUUGAGCUAAUACCUCGGGGGGAUGACGGUACCUGAAGAAUAAGCACCGGCUAACUACGUGCCAGCAGCCGCGGUAAUACGUAGGGUGCAAGCGUUAAUCGGAAUUACUGGGCGUAAAGCGUGCGCAGGCGGUGAUGUAAGACAGGUGUGAAAUCCCCGGGCUUAACCUGGGAAUUGCAUUUGUGACUGCAUCGCUGGAGUGCGGCAGAGGGGGAUGGAAUUCCGCGUGUAGCAGUGAAAUGCGUAGAUAUAGGAAGGAACACCAGUGGCGAAGGCGACCACCUGGACUGAUACUGACACUGAGGUGCGAAAGCGUGGGGAGCAAACA